rnacentral:rRNA from 1 species
GACAGAGGUUGCAAACGUUGUUCGGAAUUACUGGGCAUAAAGCGCACGUAGGCGGUUCGUUAAGUCAUGUGUGAAAUCCCUCGGCUCAACCGAGGAAUUGCGCCUGAUACUGGCGGGCUAGAGAUCGAUAGGGGUGAGUGGAACUCCAGGUGGAGCGGUGAAAUGCGUAGAUAUCUGGAGGAACACCGGUGGCGAAAGCGGCUCACUGGAUCGAUACUGACGCUGAGGUGCGAAAGCUAGGGUAGCGAACAGG